GUUUAUACUAAGUGACCCAUAGGUUGAGGAGGCGGUGACCGUGGCGGUGGAGGAUGAGGUAGCCAUCACUGAUAUAUAUAUAUAUAUUAAUUGGGGUAGCCCCCAAAAUAUUGGGACAUAUAAAAAAGACAACUCUGUUCCACAGAGUUACUGUUGACAUUAUAGUUGCGCAGGCACUUUGUUGACUCUAGAGAACCUCGGGCCAAUCGCACACCUCCGUGGCGGUGACUUUGCAUGCGGAUGUCAUCCAUAUCAACUUUCAAAGCCAGUUUCUGCGCCUACUAUGGUGACCACGGGUAACGGGGAAUCAGGGUUCCAUUCCGUACAGGGACCCUGAGAAACGCUACCACAUGCAAGGAAGGCA